CUCUAUGUAGUGCGUCACGAUGAUAAGUCCCGAACGCUCUCCUCUCCCUUUCCCCUCGCUCGCUUCCUCCUCCCUCACCCGCAGAACCCUAGCCGCUCCUCUCCUCUCCCCAGCCGCCACCGGCCACCUCCCAGCCCUCCUCCUCCGCCUCGUCGCCCUCGCCACCUUGAGCUCGCAGCGAGCGCUCUGCUCUGGCGGCGGCGGCGGUGGCCUCUUGUGGCGGAGCAGGAGGGGGAAGAUGGUGGCGGCGGCGCCCUCUGGCGGCGGAGGAAGAGGAGGAGGAGGGGGAGAUGGUGGCGCCGACGCUUGUUCAGGGACUCGCUCAAGGUGCUCGAGCCCGACAUCCAGCAUGCCAACAACCUCCCCGCUGCGUGCCUCUUCCUCUUCCUCCUACAGGGGACCAACUGCAGCCUCGCUGGCGCCCUCGGCCUCCUCAUGUUCCCCAUCUACAAGACAAUGGGACUGUUGACCGGAUGCAAGAGCUUCUUCAAAAAAUCCAUGCUUUCAGAUAUUGCAAGGAAGGCUUUCCUUCACAAAGUAUGUGCCUCUUUUCGGUAGCUUUCAGCUUGUACUAUGUCCUUACAUGUAUUGAACCUAGAAAAAAUAUGCAUUCAUCUGCAUUUAUGUUAUUGUUUUUUUGCGGGUGAGCACAUAUGUUAAUACCGUGUUUUUAUUUGCCUCUUUUGUGAUAGUUUAAGGUGAAAAAAAAGUAUUUAUAAUUGUGACAUGGACUACAGACUUUCCCUAUGUUUUUAGGUGUGACGGUUGGUGUCUUGACCACUGAUAUAUGUGUCUGGAUUUAGUUGAUAUACGCCUACUGUGUUUCAGGCGUGGUGUUCUUUCUUGAAUAAAUUGGCAGAUGCUUGCUUCUGUUAAUUAAAGCUUCUGCAUUAGGAGGUACUGCGUUGUGCUUGAAUGCAAUGUCUUGGUUUAGAGAGCAGCCAAGCCCAGUCAACAAUUAGUACAAGUAGUUAUGAGAUGAGGCAGCGGACAACAGAGAGAGCCAGUCGCUGUAUAUGCAAUGCAUGAAAGUGGAUGUUGAUUCCAUUCAAGUAAUGAAUAAAUAGUACUCCCUCCGUCCCACAAUAUAAGAUGUUAUAAGAGAACUUAGGCAAUGGGACUGUUGACAGGGUGCAAGAGCUUCUUCAGAAAAUCCAUGCCGCUUUCCGAAAUUGCAAUUUUGCUCAAGGUAAAACCAGCCAAGCUAGAUGCCAGUCCGUUCCUGCAUUGUCGUUGACACAGUUAGGUUCAAACCUGUCUGAUCAUCUCCUGUAAUAUGAAAAUAAUAUUAGCUCUUAGAUCAAUUCAGUUCUUGUAGCACAGCAUUCAAACACUUGAUGAUUUUCCUCUUUGUGCAGCCUUGUUUGAGGCUUUCCUCAUUUUAGAUCAUUCACCUCCGGAGCCCUGUUUUUCCAUGCAAGACUAGGAGCAACAGCUCUCUUCUUUUAUUUGCUGUUACAACAUACAAUUGACUUAUGCCUAGGUAUCAUAUUGCAUUAAUAGCCAUCUUAGAGUAUGGGUCCAGUUAUUGCUUAAUAUGUUGGUUCUAUGCUUGAGAGUCUCUUUAGAACUGAAAAUUCCAUUGGAAAUUAUUUGUGUUUGUGAUACAUGGACAUGCAACUACAAUGGGAAAUUGAGUUAAGAUACAGUGGACAAGGGAUCAGAAAUGUUGUUAGUAUGACUGAUGCCAGCUUGGAUUCCCUGGAACCUAUUUUCAUCUGCUUUUUAUGCUUCCAUGGUACUGAAAUCAGUUAAUAAUGUUAGACAUAAUUUUAUUUUGCGGAUUGUGCCUCACUCUCUUUUUAUGCAUGCUCCUGAUGUACUGAUUAGUUGUUAUAGUGCAUAUUUUUGAGGCUAUCAUCAGGUCAGUGGUUAUAUGUUGUAAAUUUUUCAUGGUACUGUUGUAAAUUUUUCUUUUGCGUUGCUCCUUUCAUGUCUGUUUUUUUAGGAAACUAUUUGAACUCUUCCACAGGUCAGUGGUUAUAUGUUGUUUUUCUUUAGAAGUUUUCUUGCUAUGAUGAAGUGCACCCUAGGUCCUCGAACUAUUUCAGAGGUGUCACGUAGCUUGUCUAUGGCAGCUACUGAUGAGAAUACACAUCUAUUUAUUCCAUUGAUGAGACCUGUCAAAUUUCAGUGCUUUUGUGUUUUAGUCCAUGAAAGCUUGUCCUUCUACUGUAAAACAAUAGGGAUUUCGUUUCUUAUGUCUUGGGGUAAAAAAUUUGUCAUGUUUUCCCUUUAGAUGUGGUUCAGUAUAGAAAAAUAUAAUUUAUGUUGAAUCUAUAGGAUCUGUGCUAAAUCUACAGCUACUAUUCUGUAAGGUAUGCAAGAUUUUACCUUUCUGAUAUGGCUGUAACCCGUAGCAAUUGUGCUAAAUCCAAAGCUAUUAUCCUCUUCUGUUCCAGAUAGUAUGGCGGAGAUCUAGAAGAAGGUCCAUAGACUGUUCGCCUAUGGGAAUCACGACCACUGAAGAGAGUAUAUGACCCAUAUUCACCUCGUCAUGUGUCUUCAGAUACAACCCGCUUCAGAGACAUGCCUAGGUAGCUACCCUAUGCCCAGUUUUACAAUUCCUCUGCGUUCUCUAGCUAAAGACAACAUAAUCAGAUUACUUUGUAAAUAGCACAUUGCAUGUAUGGUUUACUGUUGCAAAUUGUUUAUAAAUUAUCCUUGGUUCUCUUGCCCCCCCCCCCCUUUUAGUUUGGCUUCGUUGAUUGAUGAUGAAUUUACAACAAUAUGGGGUAGAAGCUGUUUAUUCUGUUUGAACUAAAUCAGUCUCAAGUUAAAAUACAGAAGCCCUGGAUAUGUUUAUACCAUCCCUGAAAAUACUGGGUUUGGAUUUUUAUGUAUGUGUAGUAUGUAUGUCCUAUAAAAAUCAAAUCAUGAAGAUGUUUCUUCAAUGGAAAAAGUUGUUUUCUUCCUGCUUUAAUGUCUUCUAUAACAUCCCUAUUUAGUAACGGUUUUAUAGGAGGCCACAUUCAUGAUUCUGUACUAAAUUCUUCAUAACCUUUCCAUGAUUAUUGGAGUACAAUUCUCACAGGUGAGCAUGUGGAAUAUUUGUUAUUUACCCUGCUAUUAUAUCUCUCACCAUUUUUUGACCUUUAGCUAAUAUACCAUGUAUGUUAUUAGAAGAUGCAGAUUGUUCCAACAGUAGUGAGGGUUCCUUAUAGAAUAGUAUAAUGCUAACAAGGCUGGGGAUUCCAAAAGCUGGAUAUCAUCGCUACAAUAAGAUUUCCGUAUGAUACUACUGAAACUAAAUUGCCUUUCAUAAUUUCUAUAAACUUGACUGGGAAUGUUAAUUAUCAAAUAUUAAUUACUCUAGAGUUCUCAUACUGAAAAUAGGCACAUGAAUCCAAAAGCUGAAGCAAUAGUUACCACUUUAAUUCCUGCGGGUCUGUACGCUGGUUAUGUUAGUAAUCACCCCAAAAAUAGGUUCUUGGAUAUUAUUUUGCUGACAAAUCUGAUGUUGUUUCCUUCAACUAUCAUUAGGUAACACAGACAUCACUAAUUGUUUCCGCCAAUCAAAGUAUUACAGAACUUUUGACAGUUUACAUGCUUUGAUUAUAAGCUUGAUUACAUGCUUUGAUUAUGAGCCUGGGAAGCAGGCUUGUUUGUCAUAUGAACCACAUGCUACUGCAGGCUUGCUUGUGUUCUUUUCUUAGGGUCCGCCACUCUUGGGUGCCCUUUUGGUUAAUGGUCUAGGUGUUUCCUUGCAUGAUUGCUGCUGCAGGGUUGUAGUCGUACCGGUGGCCAUGAUUACUCCUCAUCAACUUCGUCGUGCUCAUGUGGACUAUUUAUUUCCAGCAACGCCAUCAAACCUUCAGAGGUUUCUCUCCGGUUUCCUGCGUCUGUAUGCUGAUUUGGUCAUGGAAUUCGAGCACCUCUGGUUUGUCUAUUUUCAUGGAAUGCCACUCUCAAAUUAGUCUGGGGUACUGAGCUUUGACCUAAAUCCCCAAUCAAAACAGAUUCCCCAUUCCCCAGUCCUCUCUCUGCCCAGCGCCAGUUCCGCCGUCGACUCUGACAAGCGUUCACCAACAACUGCCGCAAAAAAGGUGAUUCAAAGCCUGGCUUGUUGUCUCCUUCAUUGUCUCCUUCCGCCUCACGGCAAUUUCACUCUUCAAACUGAGAUCCAAGGUGGUGCUUAUGGAGAACAUGGACAUUGGUGUAACUGACGGUGAGUGGUCGAGCAAACCACCUGGACAGGCAAGGAAACAAAAAAGAACAACGAUUUAGCCCAUUAUCGAAUAUGACAAGAGCAAGGAAAUAUGUAACCUCGCAGGUUGGCGGAACUUUAUCUGCACAAGUUUUCUCACUCAUUGCGCAUGUGCAAAUUCUGUUCCUCUGCAUAUUAGUUUUACCAUUUGGUGUACAAAAAUAUUGUUCACCCUACAAAAAAUGUAUUUGUUCAUAAGCUUCUUAGAACACUUUGUAUUGUAGCUAAUCAUUUCCAUAUGCUCUAAUCGGUAUCUACGUAUUUUUAUACUCA